rnacentral:rRNA from 1 species
GAUGAACGCUAGCGGCAGGCCUAAUACAUGCAAGUCGAGGGGCAACAGGUGUAGCAAUACAUGCUGGCGACCGGCGCACGGGUGCGUAACACGUAUGAAACCUACCCAUAACUUGGGAAUAGCCCGAAGAAAUUCGGAUUAAUGUCCAAUGAUACUGCGAAGUGGCAUCACUUUGUUGUUAAAGAUUUAUCGGUUAUGGAAGGUCAUGCGCCCAAUUAGCUAGUUGGUGAGGUAAUGGCUCACCAAGGCCACGAUUGGUAGGGGACCUGAGAGGGUGAUCCCCCACACUGGUACUGAGAUACGGACCAGACUCCUACGGGAGGCAGCAGUAGGGAAUAUUGGGCAAUGGAGGCAACUCUGACCCAGCCAUGCCGCGUGCAGGAAGAAGGCCUUCUGGGUUGUAAACUGCUUUUGAUCGGGAACAAAGAAUCCAUGCGUGGAUAGUUGAGUGUACCGAUAGAAUAAGCACCGGCUAACUCCGUGCCAGCCGCCGCAGUAAUAC